rnacentral:rRNA from 1 species
GAUGAACGCUGGCGGCGUGCCUAAUACAUGCAAGUCGAGCGAACAGACGAGGAUCUUGCUCCUUCGACGUUAGCGGCGGACGGGUGAGUCACACGUAGGUAACCUACCUAUAAGACUUGGAUAGCUUCGGGAAACCGGAGCUCAUACCGGAUAAUAUUUCGAACCGCAUGGUUCGAUAGUGAAAGAUGGCUUUGCUAUCACUUUUAUAUGGACCUGCGCCGUAUUAGCUAGUUGGUAAGGUAACGGCUUACCAAGGCAACGAUGCGUAGCCGACCUGAGAGGGUGAUCGGCCACACUGGAACUGAGACACGGUCCAGACUCCUACGGGAGGCAGCAGUAGGGAAUCUUCGGCAAUGGGCGAAAGCCUGACGGAGCAACGCCGCGUGAGUGAUGAAGGUCUUCGGAUCGUAAAACUCUGUUAUCAGGGAAGAAAAAAAGUGUAAGUAACCGUGCACGCCUUGACGGUACCUAAUCAGAAAGCCACGGCUAACUACGUG